rnacentral:rRNA from 1 species
UACGUAGGGGGCAAGCGUUGUCCGGAUUUAUUGGGCGUAAAGAGCUCGUAGGUGGUUCGGUAAGUCGGAUGUGAAAUCUCCAGGCUCAACCUGGAGGGGUCAUUCGAUACUGCCGUGACUAGAGGUCGGUAGGGGAGUGUGGAAUUCCUGGUGGAGCGGUGAAAUGCGCAGAUAUCGAGAGGAACACCAGUGGCGAAGGCGAGUCUCUGGACAUUUCCUGACGCUGAGGCACGAAAGCCAGGGGAGCAAACGGG